CCCGGUGAUCUAGCCAUGGGCAGGUUGAAGGUUGGGUAACACUAACUGGAGGACCGAACCGACUAAUGUUGAAAAAUUAGCGGAUGACCUGUGGCUGGGGGUGAAAGGCCAAUCAAACCGGGAGAUAGCUGGUUCUCCCCGAAAGCUAUUUAGGUAGCGCCUCGUGAACUCAUCUCCGGGGGUAGAGCACUGUUUCGGCUAGGGGGCCAUCCCGGCUUACCAACCCGAUGCAAACUGCGAAUACCGGAGAAUGUUAUCACGGGAGACACACGGCGGGUGCUAACGUCCGUCGUGAA
rnacentral:rRNA from 1 species